UGAGGAAUAUUGGUCAAUGGGCGAGAGCCUGAACCAGCCAAGUAGCGUGAAGGAUGACUGCCCUAUGGGUUGUAAACUUCUUUUAUAAAGGAAUAAAGUCGGGUAUGCAUACCCGUUUGCAUGUACUUUAUGAAUAAGGAUCGGCUAACUCCGUGCCAGCAGCCGCGGUAAUACGGAGGAUCCGAGCGUUAUCCGGAUUUAUUGGGUUUAAAGGGAGCGUAGAUGGAUGUUUAAGUCAGUUGUGAAAGUUUGCGGCUCAACCGUAAAAUUGCAGUUGAUACUGGAUAUCUUGAGUGCAGUUGAGGCAGGCGGAAUUCGUGGUGUAGCGGUGAAAUGCUUAGAUAUCACGAAGAACUCCGAUUGCGAAGGCAGCCUGCUAAGCUGCAACUGACAUUGAGGCUCGAAAGUGUGGGUAUCAAACAGGAUUAGAUACCCUGGUAGUCCACACGGUAAACGAUGAAUACUCGCUGUUUGCGAUAUACGGCAAGCGGCCAAGCGAAAGCGUUAAGUAUUCCACCUGGGGAGUACGCCGGCAACGGUGAAACUCAAAGGAAUUGACGGGGGCCCGCACAAGCGGAGGAACAUGUGGUUUAAUUCGAUGAUACGCGAGGAACCUUACCCGGGCUUAAAUUGCAGAUGAAUUACGGUGAAAGCCGUAAGCCGCAAGGCAUCUGUGAAGGUGCUGCAUGGUUGUCGUCAGCUCGUGCCGUGAGGUGUCGGCUUAAGUGCCAUAACGAGCGCAACCCUUGUUGUCAGUUACUAACAGGUUCUGCUGAGGACUCUGACAAGACUGCCAUCGUAAGAUGUGAGGAAGGUGGGGAUGACGUCAAAUCAGCACGGCCCUUACGUCCGGGGCUACACACGUGUUACAAUGGGGGGUACAGAGGGCCGCUACCACGCGAGUGGAUGCCAAUCCCAAAAACCUCUCUCAGUUCGGACUGGAGUCUGCAACCCGACUCCACGAAGCUGGAUUCGCUAGUAAUCGCGCAUCAGCCACGGCGCGGUGAAUACGUUCCC
rnacentral:rRNA from 1 species